GCCAGCACCCAUAUUACUCUGCAACUCACAGUUGGCGAACCACUGAAGCUAAGCAGGUGUGAGCCUGGUCAGUACCUGGAUGGGAGACCUCCUGAGAAAAACUAAGGUUGCUGCUGGAA
rfam:Lepisosteus oculatus linkage group LG4, whole genome shotgun sequence.